rnacentral:rRNA from 1 species
GCAAAUAAUAAUACCUAAUAACCCUCCCCCUAAAAAAAUUUUCUAACAUCCUUCAGUAUUUUCUAAAAACUGGCAUAAUAUACACCCCCGCAAGGGCUAAAAUACACGCACGCCACAGAAGAGUUCAUAACUUAUCCCUCUUGCAUCAUGGAAAAGCAACAUAACAAUACAAAUAUAACUUCCCGAAAAGCUGUGAGCUACUAACCCCUAAAACCUAAUGUAUCACAAUUAGGGUACUAGCCGUCAGUAGGAGCAACAAACCUUUCAUACAACUAUUUAGCUGGCUCUCUUCAAAAGGCAUCAAAGUGCCUCCCUAUAUUCUCUACAUCAGGACUUACAGCUGAACUAACUUUAUAGGAAAAAGACUCCUGAGGAUUAGCUCAGGAGUCACCCUUCAAAUUAUAUCUCAAAUAAUAACCGAAAGUAGGCUUAAAAACAGCCACCAAAUAACGUUUUAGUAACCAACCAAAUCAACUACAACAUCAAACUUAUAAUUUUAACCCCAGAAGAGCUUAGUGAAUAACCAACCACACUACUGAACCGGCAUUUUAUUAGUAUUUAUACUAGAAAUUUUCUCUAAAAUUUUAAAACCAGAAACUUAACCUCCUCUAUAAUGAGCCCAUAUAAAGUGAACUCGGCAAAAAUUUUCCUUGCCUGUUUACCAAAAACAUCGUCUUUUGCUAACCCCGCAUAAAAGAUAAUGCCUGCCCAGUGAGUAACCCUUAAACGGCCGCGUUAGCGUGAGCGUGCUAAGGUAGCGUAAUAAUUAGCCUCUUAAUUGGAGGCCAGUGAAAGGCAACACGAGGAACACCUAUACUUUAUAUGUAAAAAAAACUUUUCUUCUAAGUGAAAAGCCUUAGAUGCUAAAAGAAGACGAAAAGACCCCGCGGAACUUUACCUUUUCUUUACAACCACUAAACCCUUACCUAAGUGUAAGUACUAAGGUUUGAUUGGGGCAAUCUCGGAACCACCCAAACUUCCGAUUUACAUUUCAACUAAUCUAAAAUUUGCUUGAAACUAAAAAGAAGUUACCCCGGGGAUAACAGCGUUAUCCAACUUAAGAGUACAUAUCGAAAGUUGGGUUUGCGACCUCGAUGUUGGCUUAAGGACAUCCACAUAAGUGCAGCCGCUAUGAAUGGACAGUCUGUUCGACUAUUAUAACCUUACACGAGCUGAGUUAAAACCGGCGUGAGCUAGGUUGGUUUCUAUCUCUUUUAACCCACACCCCUUCUUGAUUGUACGAAAGGACCCCAAGAGACGCACCUAAUCCGCGAACCUUAAAUUUUAAUCCUCCAUAACUCCAUCCUUAACAC